GGGGAUUUAGCUUAGUGGCUCAAGCAUUUGCCUGUUAAGCACAAGAUUAUGAGUCUGAUCCCCA
rnacentral:tRNA from 1 species